UACGAAGGUCCCAAGCGUUGUCCGGAUUUAUUGGGUUUAAAGGGUGCGUAGGCGGGUUAUUAAGUCAGUGGUGAAAGCCUACAGCUUAACUGUAGAAUUGCCAUUGAUACUGAUGAUCUUGAGUAUGAUUGAGGUGGGCGGAAUGUGUCAUGUAGCGGUGAAAUGCUUAGAUAUGACACAGAACACCGAUUGCGAAGGCAGCUCACUAAGCCAUAACUGACGCUGAUGCACGAAAGCGUGGGGAGCAAACAGG
rnacentral:rRNA from 1 species